rnacentral:tRNA from 1 species
UUCCACGUGUCGGAAUUGGUAGACGAGCCAGACUGUGAAUCUGGAGUUUGCGGGUUCGAGCCCCGUCGUGGUCC